AAGAUAUGUAUAGUCCAGGCUACGACUUAAAAGAUUACUGAAGACACGAGGGGAUUUCCAUGAAAAUAAAUCAAUGGAAAGACUCUGACCGGGAAAAAGAAUCUGCAUGUAUCGAAAUAAAACCAACACAUCAAGAAACAACCAUCAGGGAAAGGCGUAAAUCAGAACAAAGUUGAAAUACCCAAACACAAGGAAAUUCGAUUUCACAAAGAAAUGUGAAUCCAAACUCAACUGAGG
rnacentral:lncRNA from 1 species